rnacentral:rRNA from 1 species
AGAAUCAACGCUGGCGGCGUGCCUAACACAUGCAAGUCGAACGAGAAAGUGGAGCAAUCCAUGAGUAAAGUGGCGCACGGGUGAGUAACACGUGACUAACCUACCUUUUAGUGGGGGAUAACCUAGGGAAACCUGGGCUAAUACCGCAUAACACUUACGAGUCAAAGCAGCAAUGCGCUGAAAGAGGGGGUCGCGGUCGAUUAGUUAGUUGGCAGGGUAAUGGCCUACCAAGACUGUGAUCGAUA